rnacentral:hammerhead_ribozyme from 1 species
GGCUAGCAGUGGAAUCCAAGAAGCGCGUUUCUUCCUAUUGGGAACUCUUCGGUCCUAAAUAGGACGAAACGCGCGUCCUGGAU